rnacentral:rRNA from 1 species
UAGCAUAAUCAUUAGUUUCUUAAUUAGAAACUCGUAUGAAUGGUUGAACAAAAGAAGAGCUGUCUCUGGUAUAGAAAUAGAAUUUAACUUUUAAGUGAAAAGGCUUAAAUUAUUCAAGGGGACGAUAAGACCCUAUAAAGCUUUAUAUUGUCAGCUGAAUUUUAAUUGAAUUAGAGAAAGUUAAAGAUUUUAAUGGGCUAUUAUAUUUUAUUGGGGAGGUACAAGUAUAAUUUUUAUAACUGCUUAUAAUUAAUACAUAGAUAGUUGGUUUUUGUUUUAAUGAUCCUUUAUUAAUAAAGAUUAAAGACUAAGUUACUUUAGGGAUAACAGCGUUAUUUUUUUUGAGAGUUCAUAUCGAAAAAAAAGUUUGCGACCUC